rnacentral:rRNA from 1 species
GACAGAGGGGCCAAGCGUUAGGCGGAAUCACUGGGCUUAAAGCGUGUGUAGGCGGGCGAUCAAGUAACUUGUGAAAUCCCACGGCUCAACCGUGGAACUGCUGGGUAUACUGGUUGUCUUGAACCAGCUAGGGGCGAGCGGAACAGACGGUGGAGCGGUGAAAUGCGUAGAUAUCGUCUGGAACGCCGAAGGUGAAAACAGCUCGCUGGGGCUGCGCUGACGCUGAGACACGAAAGCCAGGGGAGCGAACGGG